GAGCACGUAGGCGGAUGGGUAAGUCGGACGUUAAAGCCCCAGGCUCAACCGAAGAAUUGCAUCCGAAACUGCCUAUCUUGAGCGCAGGAGGGGAGAGUGGAACUCGUGGUGGAGCGGUGAAAUGCGUAGAUAUCACGUGGAACGCCGGUGGCGAAAGCGACUCUCUGGCUCGCUUCUGACGCUGAGGCGCGAAAGCUAGGGGAGCGAACGGGAUUAGAUACCCCGGUAGUCCUGGCCGUAAACGAUGGGCACUAAGAAGUGGGGUU
rnacentral:rRNA from 1 species